AGGGAGCCCCAUAACCUGCCCAGGCUGCAGACCCUGGAAGCCCAGCAGAAGGGGCUGGAGUCUUGGCUUUGCCAUCAACUCCCCGGACCCCCACACCCAGAGGAACCAGCCUUAAACUGAGCCUCAGUUUCCUCGUUUGUAAAAUGGAUGUGAUCAUUCUGGCUCUGCCUACCUCACAGCUUUAUCAGAGACCGGAUCCAGAGAGAGGCAGUGUCGGUAGAAAACUCUUUUUAAUCCUAAACCCAUACAAGGCAAAGAUACAGUCUCCAACUUUUCAAAGUUGUCCCUGAACGAGUCACCAGCUCCUAUUUUUACUGAAAAGUUUCUCACGGAAGCACAUCUCUGAAUGUUCCUCAGAUUAAUAGAAUUUGACUUAUAGAAAUUGUCAGAAUUGUCAGUUAUCCCCCCUGGAAGACAAGCAUUCUCUAAAUCCCCAAAUCCUUUUAUGCGAAUUCUUAAGUAUCUCAAAGCUUAAGCAAAUCAAAGUUACCAGUCAUUCAGACCAUUAUAAACCCACUUGGGACCUUCCGUCACUGAAUAUGUGAUUUCUUUUCUCUUCGCUGGCAGGAAUGCUCAGAAUUCUUGAGAUCCGAGUGGUAUUUAGUGCAGGGAAAUUGUAAGAAUUCGUAACUGUGGGGGGCCAGAAUGAAUGAACGCCACCACCUUUCUGCCAGGCGUGUCUCAUUAAUCCUUCGAGCAUUUCAGAACGACGCACUGAGUGAAUGACAAGAGGUGGGUGAGGAACGGAAGAGGCAGAGAGAUCAAGCAUUCAUGACAGGGAGAGAAUCCCGUGGGACCGCGGAGGUCGUGUAUCGAACACGAGCCUGCCGCCUCCCCAUCUGCCUCUUCCCUCUCCUUUCCUCCCGCCUUUGUUUGAACAGACCUCCACCAGGAAGCUGCUUUUCGUCCAUUCCUAUCUAUCGACACGGUCGCCAAGAACCACUGGCAUCAAGCCUGGCGCCCAGCAUUGGCUCGACCUCCAACACCAUCUGUGAGGGGGUGGGAGGGAGGGUGGCACCAUCAGCAGAAACAUCAGUCCUUUCUCUAGCGCUUCCUGAGAGGUUUUUUGCAUCAAAAGGUCUUGCCUCCUCCUCUGCGGUGAUUGCAUAGCAAAUGUCCCCUUUGGCUGUCCUGGUGUUAGAUGUACCCCAGUCCCAGAAAGCAGGUGGAAGUGGAGAAAACCUACCUGGACACAGAGAUAAGCAGCUAAGGCACUUCCCCGAAAUGGAAGGUGCUCCAUAGAUGCUUAUAAUGCAAUACAGUGAAGCGAGGGGGACGGACCCAGUCUGGGGUGGGCAAGAUGAGUAGGAGUAAGGCAACCUGGGCUGUGGAGGAGGGGCACCCCAAGAAAGAGGCAGAGCCUGGGCGGAGGUGAGAUGCUGUGCCAGUGGAGGGCCAGGAAGCUGGACUGUGCUAGCAUCAGCUGUGCAUCAGGUGUGGUGGGAGAGAGCAGAAGAGGACAGAAAGCCAGAGGGAUGAGGAAUUCCUGACCACCUCCAUGACCCAAGGAACCAAAGCCAAUGCUGUGACCCUUGAACCAUCUCAGCCUGCCAGCUCCUUGUCCAAAACAUGAGAUUCAAAGAGGGCUGAGCUGUCUAUGUCGAGACACAUUUCUGUCUGGCUGUUUUCAGACACGCCCCAAAGCUACACCUCCCCACGUGCUUCUGGCACCAUCUCCCGGCAAAGAGGGUCCACCAUCACCCAGAGCUGUUACUAUGCCUCCUUCUGCCUGGACCAGGAACCUCCCAUUCUUCAUCUCGCCAUGUCUGGGUCUGGCACACCCAGCAGAUGUUAAUCGAGGAUGUGUCAGAUGAAUAAAUACACAUGGGUCCUACAGAGCAGGGAGUAGCAAAGCUUUCCUGCAAAGGACCAGAGAGUAAAUACCUCUGGUUUUAUGGGUCACACAGUGUUGAAGCUGUUCUGCUGUUGUAACUUGAAGUUAACCCUAGACGGUCUGUAUAGGAAUGGGCUCAGCCAUGUCCCAAUAAAACUUCAUUUGCCAAAACACUGGGCAAGAUUUGACCAGAGGGCUGCAGCUUGCCAACUCCUGCUAUGGAGAGCUCCAGGAGCUGUGACAUUUCCAUGUCCUUGUCCAUCUGAAACAUCUUUAUUUUGGAACUUAUAAAUGAUAGUUUAGCUGGGGAUAGAAUUGUAGGCUGACAGCUGUCUUCUCUCUGUUGUUUGAAGAGGUCAUUUCAUUCUCCCCUGAUGUGGUUUUUGCUGGUGGAAAAUCUCUAAAGACAGACUGAGCUUCUUGUGUAGGUAAUUUGUCUUUGCUCUCUGGUGCUUUAGAAUGUUUUCUCUUUAUUUUUGACAGUCUGUGGUUUCAGUAGCAAGUGUCUACAUGGGUUUUUUUCCCCCUCCAGUUUGUAUCAGUUACCGCUUGGUAUAACUUUUCAAUCUGAAGAUCCCCAUCCCCAACUCGUAUUUUAAGAGGUUUCUGGAAGACCUUUUGCUCUCCCCUCCAAUACUGCUGCUCUGCCAUUCUCUCUCUGGAGGACCUUUUAAAUGAAUUUCAAGUGCGUAUCUUCUCCAUUUCUUCUUGCCUGCAUGUUAUAUGUCUGUCUUUUUUCUGUCUUUCUUUGUCUUUAGUAUUCAAAAUCCAGGCCUGUCCAUAGAAGACUAUUUUAGGUUAUUCCAGGAGGAAGAUUUCCCAUAAAGCUUUAUUCCUAUUAGUCAAGCCACAGAUGUUUCUAGGGGCUUCUCUUGCAAGGUACUAGGAGGAGGAGUUCAAAACAUGCAUUAACGUCUCACAUUUAUUCAAAGCAUUGCCCCCUUUUAAAAUCUUCAAUAUGAUUCCCUGAUAGAGGUUCCCUCAUUGUCCUCAUCUUACAGAUUAUCUAGAAACCCGAGCCCCAGAGGGGUAACUAGCCUACAGUCAUGUGGCCAGUCCUUGGUCCUCAUCUGCAUGUGUAGGGCUCACUCACGUUGGGAUAUAAUCCAUCACCAGCAAGGCCCAGUGAGGAUGAAGGCUCGUGAUACCUUUAUGAGGAUUUUUUCUAAAUGAAAGCAUUUGCCAAGUGCUACUCUUAUAUAACUAAAACAACAAC
rnacentral:lncRNA from 1 species